UAGUCUUCAAACGUAUUUAUA
rnacentral:piRNA from 1 species